rnacentral:rRNA from 1 species
GGGUUGUGAGGUUAAGCGACUAAGCGUACACGGUGGAUGCCCUGGCAGUCAGAGGCGAUGAAGGACGUGCUAAUCUGCGAUAAGCGUCGGUAAGGUGAUAUGAACCGUUAUAACCGGCGAUUUCCGAAUGGGGAAACCCAGUGUGAUUCGUCACACUAUCAUUAACUGAAUCCAUAGGUUAAUGAGGCGAACCGGGGGAACUGAAACAUCUAAGUACCCCGAGGAAAAGAAAUCAACCGAGAUUCCCCCAGUAGCGGCGAGCGAACGGGGAGCAGCCCAGAGCCUGAAUCAGUGUGUGUGUUAGUGGAAGCGUCUGGAAAGGCGUGCGAUACAGGGUGACAGCCCCGUACACAAAAAUGCACAUACUGUGAGCUCGAUGAGUAGGGCGGGACACGUGGUAUCCUGUCUGAAUAUGGGGGGACCAUCCUCCAAGGCUAAAUACUCCUGACUGACCGAUAGUGAACCAGUACCGUGAGGGAAAGGCGAAAAGAACCCCGGCGAGGGGAGUGAAAAAGAACCUGAAACCGUGUACGUACAAGCAGUGGGAGCACAGAGCAAUCUGUGUGACUGCGUACCUUUUGUAUAAUGGGUCAGCGACUUAUAUUCUGUAGCAAGGUUAACCGAAUAGGGGAGCCGAAGGGAAACCGAGUCUUAACUGGGCGUUAAGUUGCAGGGUAUAGACCCGAAACCCGGUGAUCUAGCCAUGGGCAGGUUGAAGGUUGGGUAACACUAACUGGAGGACCGAACCGACUAAUGUUGAAAAAUUAGCGGAUGACUUGUGGCUGGGGGUGAAAGGCCAAUCAAACCGGGAGAUAGCUGGUUCUCCCCGAAAGCUAUUUAGGUAGCGCCUCGUGAAUUCAUCUCCGGGGGUAGAGCACUGUUUCGGCAAGGGGGUCAUCCCGACUUACCAACCCGAUGCAAACUGCGAAUACCGGAGAAUGUUAUCACGGGAGACACACGGCGGGUGCUAACGUCCGUCGUGAAGAGGGAAACAACCCAGACCGCCAGCUAAGGUCCCAAAGUCAUGGUUAAGUGGGAAACGAUGUGGGAAGGCCCAGACAGCCAGGAUGUUGGCUUAGAAGCAGCCAUCAUUUAAAGAAAGCGUAAUAGCUCACUGGUCGAGUCGGCCUGCGCGGAAGAUGUAACGGGGCUAAACCAUGCACCGAAGCUGCGGCAGCGACGCUUAUGCGUUGUUGGGUAGGGGAGCGUUCUGUAAGCCUGCGAAGGUGUGCUGUGAGGCAUGCUGGAGGUAUCAGAAGUGCGAAUGCUGACAUAAGUAACGAUAAAGCGGGUGAAAAGCCCGCUCGCCGGAAGACCAAGGGUUCCUGUCCAACGUUAAUCGGGGCAGGGUGAGUCGACCCCUAAGGCGAGGCCGAAAGGCGUAGUCGAUGGGAAACAGGUUAAUAUUCCUGUACUUGGUGUUACUGCGAAGGGGGGACGGAGAAGGCUAUGUUGGCCGGGCGACGGUUGUCCCGGUUUAAGCGUGUAGGCUGGUUUUCCAGGCAAAUCCGGAAAACUAAGGCUGAGGCGUGAUGACGAGGCACUACGGUGCUGAAGCAACAAAUGCCCUGCUUCCAGGAAAAGCCUCUAAGCAUCAGGUAACAUCAAAUCGUACCCCAAACCGACACAGGUGGUCAGGUAGAGAAUACCAAGGCGCUUGAGAGAACUCGGGUGAAGGAACUAGGCAAAAUGGUGCCGUAACUUCGGGAGAAGGCACGCUGAUAUGUAGGUGAAGUCCCUCGCGGAUGGAGCUGAAAUCAGUCGAAGAUACCAGCUGGCUGCAACUGUUUAUUAAAAACACAGCACUGUGCAAACACGAAAGUGGACGUAUACGGUGUGACGCCUGCCCGGUGCCGGAAGGUUAAUUGAUGGGGUUAGCGCAAGCGAAGCUCUUGAUCGAAGCCCCGGUAAACGGCGGCCGUAACUAUAACGGUCCUAAGGUAGCGAAAUUCCUUGUCGGGUAAGUUCCGACCUGCACGAAUGGCGUAAUGAUGGCCAGGCUGUCUCCACCCGAGACUCAGUGAAAUUGAACUCGCUGUGAAGAUGCAGUGUACCCGCGGCAAGACGGAAAGACCCCGUGAACCUUUACUAUAGCUUGACACUGAACAUUGAGCCUUGAUGUGUAGGAUAGGUGGGAGGCUUGGAAGUGUGGACGCCAGUCUGCAUGGAGCCGACCUUGAAAUACCACCCUUUAAUGUUUGAUGUUCUAACGUUGACCCGUAAUCCGGGUUGCGGACAGUGUCUGGUGGGUAGUUUGACUGGGGCGGUCUCCUCCUAAAGAGUAACGGAGGAGCACGAAGGUUGGCUAAUCCUGGUCGGACAUCAGGAGGUUAGUGCAAUGGCAUAAGCCAGCUUGACUGCGAGCGUGACGGCGCGAGCAGGUGCGAAAGCAGGUCAUAGUGAUCCGGUGGUUCUGAAUGGAAGGGCCAUCGCUCAACGGAUAAAAGGUACUCCGGGGAUAACAGGCUGAUACCGCCCAAGAGUUCAUAUCGACGGCGGUGUUUGGCACCUCGAUGUCGGCUCAUCACAUCCUGGGGCUGAAGUAGGUCCCAAGGGUAUGGCUGUUCGCCAUUUAAAGUGGUACGCGAGCUGGGUUUAGAACGUCGUGAGACAGUUCGGUCCCUAUCUGCCGUGGGCGCUGGAGAACUGAGGGGGGCUGCUCCUAGUACGAGAGGACCGGAGUGGACGCAUCACUGGUGUUCGGGUUGUCAUGCCAAUGGCACUGCCCGGUAGCUAAAUGCGGAAGAGAUAAGUGCUGAAAGCAUCUAAGCACGAAACUUGCCCCGAGAUGAGUUCUCCCUGACUCCUUGAGAGUCCUGAAGGAACGUUGAAGACGACGACGUUGAUAGGCCGGGUGUGUAAGCGCAGCGAUGCGUUGAGCUAACCGGUACUAAUGAACCGUGAGGCUUAACCUUACAACGCCGAAGGUGUUU